CGCAAGGUGCCUUCGAUGGUUUGGAAAGUCUUCAAUCUUUGGUUUUGAGUCCUGGUAACAUGAUAACUGAUAUAGGGCAAGGUGCCUUCAAUGGCUUGGCAAGUCUUCGGGAGUUGAAUUUGUAUGGUAACAAAAUAACAAGUCUGAAAAAGGGUGUCUUCAGUGGUUUGACAAGUCUUCAAAAGUUGUAAGUGACAACAACUGACAAGCUAUCAAUAAUCUGCGAUCACAAACGAAGACCAUUUAGCAGAAUAUGUGUAAAUAGGCCUACACAUUUAACUAAGGAAUGCAAUCACUUCUAGCUUCCUUAAUAAUCGUUUUUUGAACAUUACGAUAUCGUUUCUGACUAACCAAAUGUAGAAUUUCUUUGUAGGCAUUACAUAUUAUAAAUCAAUUACACCAAAUGCGUUAUCGAUCACAAACAAAUUAUAUAGAUUACAAACUUAAUAAUUGAAUAUACAUUGUGAUUGAUCACAUGACGAGUAUUAAUUACUGAGUAUGAAAAUCAUACCGAUUACUGGUUUUAUAACAAUCGAUUCCAUAUCAAGAAUCUAUUACUUUACAAACAAUUACUUUUACACCAUUUAUCAUUUUCACACGUUACUUAUUUCACAUAAAAUAUUAUUAAUUAAGGUCAUAUGUUUUAUUUACACAAUAACGGCG